rnacentral:rRNA from 1 species
AGGACGAACGCUGGCGGCGUGCUUAACACAUGCAAGUCGAACGAGGAUCAAGGAAGAGCUUGCUCCGAGAUGAUUCGAGUGGCGGACGGGUGAGUAACGCGUGAACAAUCUGUCUCAUACAGGGGGAUAACGCAUCGAAAGAUGUGCUAAUACCGCGUAGGACCACAGCAUCGCAUGGUGCAGGGGUGAAAGGAGCAAUCCGGUAUGAGGUGAGUUCGCGUCUGAUUAGAUAGUUGGUGAGGUAACGGCCCACCAAGUCAACGAUCAGUAGCCGACCUGAGAGGGUGAUCGGCCACAUUGGGACUGAGACACGGCCCAGACUCCUACGGGAGGCAGCAGUGGGGAAUAUUGGGCAAUGGGCGAAAGCCUGACCCAGCAACGCCGCGUGAAGGAAGAAGGUUUUCGGAUCGUAAACUUCUGUCCUUGGUGAAGAUAGUGACGGUAGCCAAGGAGGAAGCCCCGGCUAACUACGUGCCAGCAGCUGC